UACCCGCGGCCCGAGUGGUGCUCAUUAUUAUUGAGCUUAAAGCGUCCGUAGCCGGCCUCGUAAAUCUUUGGGUAAAUCGAGCAGCUUAACUGUUCGAAUUCCGAGGAGACUGCGAGGCUCGGGACCGGGAGAGGUUCGAGGUACUCUCGGGGUAGGGGUAAAAUCCUGUAAUCCUGAGAGGACCACCAGUGGCGAAGGCGUCGAACUAGAACGGAUCCGACGGUGAGGGACGAAGCCCUGGGGCGCAAACGGG
rnacentral:rRNA from 1 species